GACGCCCCCCAAACCAGUCCUCCUUUGAUCCCCCAACUUCUGAGAAGUUGCGCACCGUGGUCCCGAGUGUCCCCUCUCGCGUGGCUGCUGUAUCCUCUGUGCUCUUUCCCCAACAGGGCCACGCGGUUCCCCACGGCCCACGUGGCCCCCGCCCCCCCCCAAGGGAGGGGGGAUUUCGGGGGUUGCCCGUGACGUGGCUACUUGCGCAGCGGAAGCGCGGUGUGUAACUGUGGGGGGGGGGUCCUUCUGGAGGGAGGAGGGCGGGGCUGGACGGGCAGUGACAUCACCUCAGUCCCACUCUCACCGCCUACUCCCUUAAAGAACUCAGAACGCGUUUCAUUUCCUCCUUCAAGUCCCCCCUCCCCUUUUCCCGUCGGAGCUGGCUCGACCCAAGGCGGACACAGCGCUCCCCUAUCCUGGGCACCUUCUCUUGAGCACUGGCUAGUCUUUCUGGCCUCUCUCGGGCCAGGAGCUGCGUCCCGCGCCUACCCCGAGUCCCCGCAGGACCCUUCUGCUGAGACCAGCCCCAACUACACCCAAGCCAACCUCAGUCCUGGCCCCAGGGCAUGCAGACCCUCUUCCUUCAGCUCAGCUGGCUUCAACCAACAGGUUCCUCACCAACCUUAUCAAGACACCAGACCAUCAACUCCACCCUCUGGACUCUGCCCCCUCCCCUUCCCCUAGGCGGGUGCAGGCAGGUCUUGGUGAGCAGCACAGGUGGCCAGACUAGAUGAACGAGCCCAACAGGGAGGAGCCUUCCUCCUCAGCAACAACUAUGACUCUAGGCCUAAGCCUGGAAGUGGCCUCUGCUACAAGCCCCCCUCCAUCCACCCUCAAGGCCAUAUCCUGUUUCCCCAUCAUCUCCUUCCUCUGUGUGGCCCAAGAAGGUGACAGAGGCCCACUCCCUUCCCUCCCAAGCCUGAGACAAAAAGUUAAGUCUUUUAACUUAAGUUCAGGGCCAAGAAUCAGGUGUCCAUCCAGGGACACCAGGGGUCAGUCCUCAGUCAAACCUAACCUUAGUCUCAUUCCUCAGGGACCUAUGUUUUCCAUUCCCCUAAGCCACGGUGGUUCUCAGCCCCUGUGGACCCAGACACUUUGGCCCCCAGUCCAGUCUAUUCCCAGCCCCCAUCCUUCCCCCUGCCCCAGAGACUAAGGCCUCUGGCCCCCAGCCUCCAUGAUGCAAUAUGCCGCAAUCUUCUGUGGCUGCUGAUGACACUGCCCCCAAGGAAGUGUUAUUUGUAACCCAAGCAAAGCCCCUCACCAGGGUUGUGGUCAGCUGCAGUCUGGGAAAGCCAAACAGGCAAGGCCCUUCUGCUGGAAAAGGGUUCUUGAGGCUGGAACUCUCCCAGACAGGGAGGAGAAUGUAGAACUAGGGAAGAGGGGAUGUAUUCCUGUAGUUGAUAGUAUUUGUGUGGCGGUUGUAUUGGAGGGAAGAAGUGCUGCAGAAGGCCUGGCCUAGAGAGAGAGGACCAAGAGAAGUGAAGGGGCAGCCAAGGUGGUGGGGUAGGUGAGGGGUGUCUGGAUACCAGAGUGGGGGAGGGGUCAACAGCCAUUUAAAAGACCAACUCCAGAGCUUUAAUCCCUCACCAGCCCUGGCCCCAAGUAGGAGGCUGUAAUUCAUCUGUCCAACAGCUGGGGUGGGUGUGUGGUUGGGGGGGCAUGUGGAUGGGAAAGGGGAGCUGGGGGAAGGGCAGGGGCCUUCUUAUGCACAGAGGCAAACAACAAAAGGGGAAGCUGAAGGGCCAGCUCCCUAAGGUCCAGGCCAGGCUGCUGACCUGCAGGUGGCCCCCACCUGGUGGCCAACAAAGCUCCAUAGUUUUGACUCAAAAAUUCUUG
ensembl:lncRNA